AACAGUCUCCUGGACAAGAUGAUGUGGGCUACAGAGGUUACAGACCCGUCCUGCUGUAAAAGAUGUAGUCAGAAGCAUGUAAGAUGUCACGCUCAUUUCACCAAGAUAUCAAAGACCAAGACAGUAGCAGAAAUAGAAGAGGAGAAAAAAAUAAAAAGGAAAAAAGACAUUGACCCAAUGUCACAAAAUAUAGCUGGCACUUGGUCAUGGACACAGCACUCUGACACUACUUGGCUUCUUAGGUGAACUUCACAGAGCACAGGGUCCUCUUGUCCCCAGGAACUCAUGGGGAUAAAUUGCAUUGAAGAUCCUCUUAAAUUCCAGAGAAGCCACUGUAAGUUGUGCCAGGAACUUUAGUAUAGCUGUUAAGUUGGUGGCAGCUGUCAGCCUCACAGUUUCGGAAUUUUUUUGAUGGAGUACAAACCUUGAGAGCAUUCUGUGUGUGCAGCUCAAAAUAUUAACUCUGCU